GCGUUUGUAGCUCAAUUGGAUAGAGUAUCAUGUUACGGCCAUGACGGUUGUGGGUUCAAGUCCUACCAAACGUA
rnacentral:tRNA from 2 species